GACGAACGCUGGCGGCGUGCUUAACACAUGCAAGUCGAACGGAAAGGCCCUGCUUUUGUGGGGUGCUCGAGUGGCGAACGGGUGAGUAACACGUGAGUAACCUGCCCUUGACUUUGGGAUAACUUCAGGAAACUGGGGCUAAUACCGGAUAGGAGCUCCUGCUGCAUGGUGGGGGUUGGAAAGUUUCGGCGGUUGGGGAUGGACUCGCGGCUUAUCAGCUUGUUGGUGGGGUAGUGGCUUACCAAGGCUUUGACGGGUAGCCGGCCUGAGAGGGUGACCGGUGCAAGUGGGACGGUGUGCCGGCCCGACCGCGUACGGGGGGGAGUGGGGGGGAACAUUGCACAGGGGGCGGAAGGUGGGUGAGCCACCCUGGUGGGGGUGAGAACGUCUUCGGGUUUGUCGACUGUUGGCGCCUGGGACGGAGAGGGAGGGAGGGUAAUGGGUAAAGAAGCACCGGCUAACCACGGGCCAGAAGCGGGGGUAAUAACGAAGAGAACACGUCUGACC
rnacentral:rRNA from 1 species